rnacentral:ncRNA from 2 species
UAAAAUCUUCGGGGCAGGGUGAUGUGCAGGACACAGAUUCCCGACCGACGGUGAUACCGGAGUCAUUAGACUGCCGGAAAGUCCGUGAGCUGAGCGAUCAGCUGAUCCGGUGAGAUUCCGGAACCGACAGUACAGUCUGGAUGUGAGAAGAUAGCG